rnacentral:rRNA from 1 species
AGGGUUUGAUCAUGGCUCAGGAUGAACGCUGGCGGCGUGCUUAACACAUGCAAGUCGAGCGAAGCAAUCUAAGUGAAGUUUUCGGAUGGAUCUUAAAUUGACUGAGCGGCGGACGGGUGAGUAACGCGUGGAUAACCUGCCUCACACAGGGGGAUAACAGUUAGAAAUGACUGCUAAUACCGCAUAAGCGCACGGUAUCGCAUGAUGCAGUGUGAAAAACUCUGGUGGUGUGAGAUGGAUCCGCGUCUGAUUAGGUAGUUGGUGGGGUAACGGCCCACCAAGCCGACGAUCAGUAGCCGACCUGAGAGGGUGACCGGCCACAUUGGGACUGAGACACGGCCCAA